rnacentral:rRNA from 1 species
CCUACGGGGGGCAGCAGUGGGGGAUAUUGGACAAUGGGGGAAACCCUGAUCCAGCGACGCCGCGUGAGUGAAGAAGUAUUUCGGUAUGUAAAGCUCUAUCAGCAGGGAAGAAAGAAAUGACGGUACCCGAGUAAGAAGCCCCGGCUAACUACGUGCCAGCAGCCGCGGUAAUACGUAGGGGGCAAGCGUUAUCCGGAAUUACUGGGUGUAAAGGGAGCGUAGACGGUAAUGCAAGUCUGGAGGGAAAGGCGGGGGGCCAACCCCCGGACUGCUCUGGAAACUGUGUAACUGGAGUGCAGGAGAGGCAGGCGGAAUUCCUAGUGUAGCGGUGAAAUGCGUAGAUAUUAGGAGGAACACCAGUGGCGAAGGCGGCCUGCUGGACUGUAACUGACGUUGAGGCUCGAAAGCGUGGGGAGCAAACAGGAUUAGAUACCCGAGUAGUC